CCUACGGGAGGCAGCAGUGAGGAAUAUUGGUCAAUGGACGAGAGUCUGAACCAGCCAAGUAGCGUGAAGGAUGACUGCCCUAUGGGUUGUAAACUUCUUUUAUAUGGGAAUAAAACGUUCCACGUGUGGGAUUUUGUAUGUACCAUAUGAAUAAGGAUCGGCUAACUCCGUGCCAGCAGCCGCGGUACUACGGAGGAUCAGAUCGUUAUCCGGAUUUAUUGGGUUUAAAGGGAGCGUAGGUGGAUUGUUAAGUCAGUUGUGAAAGUUUGGGGCUCAACCGUAAAAUUGCAGUUGAAACUGGCAGUCUUGAGUACAGUAGAGGUGGGCGGAAUUCUUGGUGUAGCGGUGAAAUGCUUAGAUAUCACGAAGAACUCCGAUUGCGAAGGCAGUUCACUGGACUGCAACUGACACUGAGGCUCGAAAGUGUGGGUAUCAAACAGGAUUAGAUACCCCAGUAGUC
rnacentral:rRNA from 1 species